AAGGCGANUACAGGUACGGGCUNUGAGAGGAGAANCCGGAGAUGAGUACUGAGACACGGACCCAGGCCCUAUGGGGCGCAGCAGGCGAGAAAACUUUGCAAUGUGCGAAAGCACGACAAGGUUAGUCNGAGUGAUUUCUGCUAAAGAAAUCUUUUGCAAGUCAUAAAACCACUAGUGAAUAAGGGGUGGGCAAGUUCUGGUGUCAGCCGCCGCGGUAAAACCAGCACCUCAAGUGGUCAGGAGGAUUAUUGGGCCUAAAGCAUCCGUAGCCGGCUUUGUUAGUUUUCGGUUAAAUCCAUGCGCUCAACGUAUGGGCUGCCGAGAAUACUGCAUAGCUAGGGAGUGGGAGAGGUAGACGGUACUCGGUAGGAAGGGGUAAAAUCCUUUGAUCUAUCGAUGACCACCUGUGGCGAAGGCGGCCUACCAGAACACGUUCGACGGUGAGGGAUGAAAGCUGGGGGAGCAAACCGGAUUAGAUACCCGGGUAGUCCCAGCUGUAAACGAUGCAGACUCGAUGAUGCAUUGGCAUAUAGCCAGUGCAGUGUCGCAGGGAAGCCGUUAAGUCUGCCGCCUGGGAAGUACGUACGCAAGUAUGAAACUUAAAGGAAUUGGCGGGGGAGCACCACAAGGGGUGAAGCCUGCGGUUCAAUUGGAGUCAACGCCAGAAAUCUUACCCGGAGAGACAGCAGAAUGAAGGUCAAGCUGAAGACUUUACCAGACAAGCUGAGAGGUGGUGCAUGGCCGUCGCCAGCUCGUGCCGUGAGAUGUCCUGUUAAGUCAGGUAACGAGCGAGAUCCCUGCCAUUAGUUGCUAUCAUUAUUCUCAGGAAUAGUGGAGCGAACUAGUGGGACUGCCGUUGUUAAAACGGAGGAAGGAAGGGGCUACGGCAGGUCAGUAUGCCCCGAAACUCUGGGGCCACACGCGGGCUGCAAUGGUAGUGACAAUGAGUUCCAAACUCGAAAGAGAGUGGCAAUCUCCAAACACUACCACAGUUAUGACUGAGGGCUGUAACUCGCCCUCACGAAUAUGGAAUCCCUAGUAACCGCGCGUCAUUACCACGCGGUGAAUACGUCCCUGCUCCUUGCACACACCGCCCGUCGUUUCAUCGAAGUUUGCUUUUANCGAGGUGAUGUUUAAUUGG
rnacentral:rRNA from 1 species